rnacentral:snRNA from 1 species
GGAUGUGAGGGCGAUCUGGCUGCGACAUCUGUCACCCCAUUGAUCGCCAGGGUUGAUUCGGCUGAUCUGGCUGGCUAGGCCGGUGUCCCCUUCCUCCCUCACCGCUCCAUGUGCGUCCCUCCCGAAGCUGCGCGCUCGGUCGAAGAGGACGACCAUCCCCGAUAGAGGAGGACCGUUCUUCGGUCAAGGGUAUACGAGUAGCUGCGCUCCCCUGCUAGAACCUCCAAACAAAGGGGAAGGAUAUCCUUUAUACCCACUGUUCCAGCCCACAUCUGUCCACUGUGGACAGAUAGCAGGC